rnacentral:rRNA from 1 species
UAAGGAAUAUUGGACAAUGGAGGCAACUCUGAUCCAGCCAUGCCGCGUGAAGGAAUAAGGCCCUAUGGGUUGUAAACUUCUUUUAGACGGGACAAAACCCCUUUACGUGUAAAGGGUUGAUGGUACUGUCAGAAUAAGCAUCGGCUAACUUCGUGCCAGCAGCCGCGGUAAUACGAAGGAUGCAAGCGUUAUCCGGAAUUAUUGGGUUUAAAGGGUGCGUAGGCGGACUAAUAAGUCAGUGGUGAAAGCCUGCAGCUUAACUGCAGAAUUGCCAUUGAUACUGUUAGACUUGAGUACAGUUGAGGUAGGCGGAAUGUGUCAUGUAGCGGUGAAAUGCUUAGAUAUGACACAGAACACCGAUUGCGAAGGCAGCUUGCUAAGCUGUAACUGACGCUGAGGCACGAAAGCGUGGGGAGCAAACA